UAUAAAUUAGUUUAACCGAACGAUGAUUUUUGUUAUCAUAAGAAAUAGAUAAUAUUCUAUUAUUUAUAG
rnacentral:tRNA from 1 species